rnacentral:rRNA from 1 species
GAUGAACGCUGGCGGCGUGCCUAAUACAUCCAAGUCGAGCGAACGGACGAGAAGCUUGCUUCUCUGAUGUUAGCGGCGGACGGGUGAGUAACACGUGGAUAACCUACCUAUAAGACUGGGAUCACUUCGGGAAACCGUAGCUAAUACCGGGUAAUAUUUUGAGCCGCAUGGUUCAAAAGUGUAAGACGGUCUUGCUGUCACUUAUAGAUGGAUCCGCGCUGCUUUAGCUAGUUGGUAAGGUAACGGCUUACCAAGGCCACGAUGCAUAGCCGACCUGAGAGGGGGAACGGCCACACGGGAGCUGAGACACGGUCCAGAGUCCUACGGGAGGCAGCAGUAGGGAAGCGUCGGCAAUGGGCGAAAGACUGCCGGAGCAGCGCAGCGUGAGUGAUGAAGGUCUUCGGAUCGUAAGACGCUGUUAUGAGGGAAGACCAUAUGUGUUAGUAACGGUGCACAUCUUGACGGUACCUAGACAGAAAGCCACGGCUAACUACGUG